rnacentral:tRNA from 1 species
GGGCGCAUAGCUCAAUCGGCAGAGCAUCCGUUUUACACGCGGGGGGUUUCAGGUUCAAGUCCUGAUGUGCCCA